UAGGGAAUCUUCCACAAUGGGCGCAAGCCUGAUGGAGCAACACCGCGUGAGUGAAGAAAGGUUUCGGCUCGUAAAGCUCUGUUGUUAAAGAAGAACACGUAUGAGAGUAACUGUUCAUACGUUGACGGUAUUUAACCAGAAAGUCACGGCUAACUACGUGCCA
rnacentral:rRNA from 1 species